rnacentral:tRNA from 1 species
GUCAGUGUCGUCUAGUGGUUAGGACGCGAGCUUCACACGCUCGAGAUCGAGGGUUCGAUCAUUGCACUUGGCCUUGGGACU